rnacentral:rRNA from 1 species
AAUUUUGGACAAUGGGGGAAACCCUGACCCAGCAAUGCCGCGUGCAGGAUGAAGGCCUUCGGGUUGUAAACUGCUUUCGUACGGAACGAAAAGACUUGGGCUAAUUACCUGGGAUCAUGACGGUACCGUAAGAAUAAGCACCGGCCAAUCACUUGCCAGGAGCCGCGGUAAUACUUAGGGUGCAAGCGUUAAUCGGAAUUACUGGGCGUAAAGCGUGCGCAGGCGGUUUUGUAAGACAGUGGUGAAAUCCCCGGGCUCAGCCUGGGAACUGCCAUUGUGACUGCAAGGCUGGAGUGCGGCAGAGGGGGAUGGAAUUCCGCGUGUAGCAGUGAAAUGCGUAGAUAUGCGGAGGAACACCGAUGGCGAAGGCAAUCCCCUGGGCCUGCACUGACGCUCAUGCACGAAAGCGUGGGGAGCAAACAGG